rnacentral:rRNA from 1 species
UACGUAGGGUGCAAGCGUUGUCCGGAAUUAUUGGGCGUAAAGAGCUCGUAGGCGGCUUGUCGCGUCGGCUGUGAAAACCUGGGGCUCAACCCCGGGCCUGCAGCCGAUACGGGCAAGCUAGAAUUCGGUAGGGGAGACUGGAAUUCCUGGUGUAGCGGUGAAAUGCGCAGAUAUCAGGAGGAACACCUAUGGCGAAGGCAGCACUCUGGGACGGUACUGACGCUGAUGCGCGAAAGCCAGGGGAGCGAACGGG